UACAAGGUCUAGGUCUGGGCCUGGGGCGGUCGCCCAGUUUGACCUGCCCCAGGGCCGGCCCUACCUCCGCUGCGGCCUCUGGCGCACUCCCCGCUUCGCGGCCACCUGAUAUUUUAGUCCUCCGACGGCCACACCAACGAGUGGUCCUUCGGCACCUCUCGCUUCAAUCUCCGCGUUGCCCACCUCGCCGGUAGUCUGAUCCACCGCCGCUUCCCUUCUUUUCCUUUCUUUUUCUUUCCUUUUCUCAAGAAACCAUGGAAUUGGUGGGUCUUUUGGUGUUCGUCAUGGAUUUCUUGGAAAACUAGGCGUUCUUGUCGCUUUGAUUGGAUUGUGCUGGUUUCCGUUUGGAAUUUGGGGCUGUUUACGGUGAGAGGUUUCAAAGGGGAAGAAAGAUGGGUUUUCUUUUAUUUAGGGCAUCGACCAUGAAAUGCUCCAACUCUAAGCGGGAAAUGGUUUCCGGACGGCGUAACGAAGACUAUACUGGACUUGCGAUUUUACUGUUUGGAUUUGGUAGGACGCGAGCAGAGUAUUAUAGUUGAUCCAACCCUUAGCGGGAAACGGUUUCCAGAUGGCAUAACGAAGACUAUAAUGGAUUGCGGGUUAAACCGAGCAACUGCAAGAAUGUCUGAGGAAGGAUGAAGAGAUAGUCAAUUGAUGCAGUACUGAACAAAGUCACACCACUAGUCAUAGCAUUGCUGAUGGUGAUGCUUUGAAUGGCGUCCAACAUCGGAUUUUACAAAAGUUUCUGCUGGCGACACAAUAUCUAUUGGCAGGAUCUUUUGUUUGUGGCAACUCUUUCACGUACACAAAUAUUACCACAGGGGACGGUGGAGAUGAGGAGUUCUCUGAUUUACAUUUGCAAGUUUGCAACAAAUGCUCAUCCCAUCUAGAGGAACUCUAAAGCAGCCAAGCAGGUUUCAGUUUUCUCAUUAGACAGAGUAUCUUUGUUCAGUAUGACUCCUGAUGUCAAUUUUUCUUAGAUGGCCUGCUAUGCCUUAUUGUCUUUUGUAAAGCACUGCUGAGAGAAACUGAUUUUGUUCUUCAUUCAAGGUAAAUUUCCUGUCCGCUGUUAGAUUAACAACCAGAGUGGCCAUGAUUGUUAUAUAAACUGAUGAUACAUUUAAAAUAAUAUUCUGGGAUAUUGAAAUUCAUGUUUUUUUGUCAGACAGUUCAUUUCAGUGUAUUAAGAUUUUAAUCUUGUACUUUCUCAUUUUGUCUUGUUUCUUGCAAAUUUGCCUGGGUACCUCUUUGAUAUGAAGGUCAUGCUGAUAUUGUUUAAAAUUACAAUUGCCUCAGCGGCUGCAUACAUGGUUUACAUUCAUCAAUUUCAUGACAUAUAAAAGCUCUUUGCACAGGCUUUCAAAAUAUCAAACUUUAAAGUGCUUGGUGAGAGAUAGACAGACACAACAGAAUUGGGAGGGUAAUUGCAAUGCAUGUACGAAGUACUUACAUGCCAUCAAGUGUCAGCUAGCCUCUUAUUGUUCUCUGCUCUUGUUUCAUUUUGUAUCACUGAUGGCAAAUUGAGAUGAGUGCUAAAACUCUAAGAUGCUUAUUUCUCUAUUCUAUAAUAAUCUAAAUUACUGGGGAUAUCAGGAGACAUGUCCCAUGAUACCAGCACAAUCUUCACCUUGCUACAAGAGGUGAACGUGCCAAUCCUGUACAAGGAAGUGCUAAUUGCCAACUUUACUAGAAAUGGAGGACUGUGUGAUGAAGGCCAUAUUUAUGGCCGUCAUCUACAAUUGAGGACACCUUUGUUCAAGGAGGGUGGUCUUGAAGCUGAGUUGUUAUAUAUGCUUCUAGAAUCAAGAAUCAGUUAUGAUAUAAAUAGCAUUGUUUUAUGGUCCUAUUAUAAUCGGGAUGCAUCUGACUGCGCUUCAUCUUUUAAUAAUGAAAAUUUUUGCUUGCAGUUUGUACUAUUUUUCAGAUUUUUCAAGUUCCCUUGUAGAAAACUAGAAAAAGCUGAACUGCUAUGCUGUUUUGUACUAUUUGGGGUAGGUCUCAAUAUAGUACUUACUGAGGAUUAAAGCUGUGCUCUUGAAACGGAGAUAAUCAAUAUAGAAAUGCUUGUUGUCGUAUUUGAACUGCCCAAGCAAGAUCACAGUAUUAUAUCUUAUUGUGAUAUAAAAAUCUCAAAAUUAGUAACUUGAAAUGUUCUCAGUCAUAGAAUAGAACUACUACUAAAGAAAAGUAUGGCAAUGACAAAUUUUCAGGUUACUCAACCCAUUCAGUGUACUUUGUUGAAUUUGUUUUUAUGCUACUGAUCUGAAGGAACAAACUUUCAGGGAGGCAGAAUCUAAAUGCUUGGCUAUGCAUAUUGAAUUUCUAUAAUUGCAAAAAAAAUGUUGCAACGAUAACUAGAAGUUGUAUUUAGAUCAUAUGGUUUUCGGUAAUGUUACAACCAUUCCCAUGGAAUGGUUUUUGGAACAGCCAAGCAAUCAGUCUUCAUGAUGCAUGCAUGAUCAUGAAAUAAAUGAUCAUUGCCUGGGUUCUCUUAAGAAGCUUCAAUGCAAGUGCUUUAAAACACUGGAAGUUGGGGCAUGUCGGUUUUGUGUCUAAGCAUACUUGUGCAUUAAUAAAACAUUACAACAUGUCCAGUUUUCUGAUCCUCAACAAUUUUUUUAAUUUUCUCAUUCCUUUGAGGAAAUUCAGGACCUAUAAUUUAUUGUUUCUUAUAUAUUCUGUGACAAACAGAAUAUGACAUGAUGAGAACCACCAUCAAAGUGGCGUUAAACAUGAUGCAUGGUGUAUGAAGAUGCCAUCAAAUAAAGUUA